UACCAUGGCAACAAGGGGUAUUUGAAGAUGGGAAAGGCUAAAAAUAAGUACUACCUACUUUAUCAUUUUGCCAGCUUCUGUCCCACUUAAUCAUAGACCUCAAUACCUCAAUACACUUUGCAGGCGCAUAAAGAGGACUAACUGGUCAGUCAUGGUAAAAUACCUAUUUCAGAGGGAAAGGUGCUGGCCCAGCAGGAGACAAGGUUUGUCACCAUGGUAACCCUGCCACUAAUUCUGCACAUGAUUUGGGUCCCAGGCCUUCAAGGAACAGAACUUAGAACUCUAGCCCUGGUUUCUUGGGCUGGUGAGUUCUGGGGACAGAAACCUGCUCACCCGUUGAUAUGCAUUCUGGACUCUACAGCACACACACAGACUUGCCACUUCAUUGCUGCAGGCCCCGGCAUAGGGAAGAGAAUGCCAGAGAGGGACUGUUCCAGUUUCCCAAGGUUCCAGAUUCAGCUAAGCAGGCAUGGAAUUGCGAGUCCAGAGUUCUAGCCAGGGAUGAAAAGGAGGGGAUGGAUCUGAAGAGUAGUUCUCUAGUCCUCUGAUGAGGGAGGAGAGAAGGCUCAACUUUAAGAGCCCUCAGAAGAAAGAGGAGUGGAAAAGGAGCUGAAAAAUUCACCAGGAAUGUAAGACCAGAGGCUUGAGUUUUAUUCCCUGUGCCUCUGUUUAUUCUGCUCAAUCACUUCCCCCAUGGGAGUCUAUUCCUGGUGUCUCUGUAUUUCCUAUCUACUUAUAUCUGCAUAUGUUGUUUUCCCCAUAGAAUCCAAUCUCCCUGAAAGCAAGGAAUAUUUCCAUUUUUCUUGUCUUUGUAUGCCAACUCCAACACAAGGCUAUCCUAUGCACUUAGUAAGCACAGUGAAGGGCUCGUGGGUUGAUUUGUAAAAUAGGCUAGAGAAGUGUCUCUUUCCUAAGGGCCGGGGAAGCCAAUCAACCUAAGGUGUUUUGCCGCGUGCAAAGGUCACCUCCUUCUCCUUCAAUACUUGUCUGAGACCCAGGUGUUUGACGGCUCGGGGGAGCUGUGAUGUACAGUUGGUCAGAAGGGCUGGGUUUUAUGUCCUGCCUCUCCUUUCCAACUGUGUUACCUUUUUGAGCCACAAUUUCCCCAUCUGUGAGAUGGUGAUACUAAUAUGUCGGAUAUCGCGUCACCCUCAUAUGGAGUGUCCCGAGAAUCAAGUAAGAUCACGCGUGGAAAGCCAGCGCUCUGUACACGCAGAUCCUUGUCCUCAUUUUCCCAUUGGAUCUGAGAAUCUCAGGGUUGGAAGGAGUUCUAGGGCUGCGUUAUUUUGCACAGCCUGAGCCGGAAUCUCCUCUACACCACUGGGGACGUAAAGAGGUGCAGAAAGGAGAAGCUGUGUGUGUUCCAGCUUAAAGGGAAAGGGCGGUAGCGGAGAAAACGAAGUCUGUCCACUUCCCAAUUCUGUCUCCCGUAACAAGUAGAUUCCGAGACAGAAGACAGACAGAGGUGGGAAAGGGGAGGAGGAAAAGGGGAAGGAGGAAUAGUGGGAGGGGAAGAAAAGG